UGUAGUCAUAUGCUUGUCUCAAAGAUUAAGCCAUGCAUGUCUAAGUAUAAACAAUUCUAUACUGUGAAACUGCGAAUGGCUCAUUAAAUCAGUUAUAGUUUAUUUGAUAAUACCUACUACUUGGAUAACCGUGGUAAUUCUAGAGCUAAUACAUGCAAAAAAACCCGACUUCUGGAAGGGUUGUAUUUAUUAGAUACAAAACCAAUGCGGGGCAACCCGGUUCUUUGGUGAUUCAUAAUAACUUCGCGAAUCGCAUGACCUUGUGUCGGCGAUGAUUCAUUCAAAUUUCUGCCCUAUCAACUGUCGAUGGUAAGGUAUUG
rnacentral:rRNA from 1 species